rnacentral:rRNA from 1 species
GACGUAGGAGGCGAGCGUUGUCCGGAUUCAUUGGGCGUAAAGAGCGCGCAGGCGGCUUGGUAAGUCGGAUGUGAAAUCCCGAGGCUCAACCUCGGGUCUGCAUCCGAUACUGCCCGGCUAGAGGUAGGUAGGGGAGAUCGGAAUUCCUGGUGUAGCGGUGAAAUGCGCAGAUAUCAGGAGGAACACCGGUGGCGAAGGCGGCCAUCUGGGCUACAACUGACGCUGAGGCGCGAGAGCGUGGGGAGCAAACAGG